rnacentral:rRNA from 1 species
GUAGUUUGAUCUUGGCUCAGGACGAACGCUGGCGGCGUGACUUAACACAUGCAAGUCGAGCGGAAAGGCCACUUCGGUGGUACUCGAGCGGCGAACGGGUGAGUAACACGUGAGUAAUCUGCCCCUGGCUUUGGGAUAGCCACCGGAAACGGUGAUUAAUACCGGAUAUGACCACGUCUCGCAGUGGGGGUGUGGUGGUAAAGUUUUUCGGCCAGGGAUGUGCUCGCGGCCUAUCAGCUUGAUGGGUGAGGUAAUGGCUCACCAUGGCUUCGACGGGUAGCCGGCCUGAGAGGGUGACCGGUCACACUGGGACUGAGACACGGCCCAGACUCCGUACGGGAGGCAGCAGUGGGGAAUAUUGGACAA